UAAUUCGAGUUUUUUUUUAACAAUUUUUACAAAUUUAAAUAAUUUUUCAUUCAACAUUUUCAAUUUCAAAAUUGGUUUGACAGUUUUGACAGGUAGACUUACAUUUACUUACAUUUACACAGCGAUGGCCUAGGCCGUCAGACGAGUCCGAAAUGUACCGACAAUGUAAGCGAAUGGGUCCGAAAUCUACCGACAUUGUAAGCGAAGACUGGAUGGGUUCGACAUCUAUCGACAUCCAAUUCAGAUGCAAGUGCGAUGGACACAUUUUAUUAUAAUUUGUUUUUUUUUUUCUCAAACUAAACUUAGUGGUAGUGCUCAUGGUACAAUGAAGAGAAGGUAGGUCAACUUUGAAAAAAUUGCAAGUAUAGAGGUCUACCUGUUUGGCUUGUAAUGUCAGAAUUAGUAUCAAAACAAUAAAAAAAUCAAACAACUUGUUGCAUUUAUUUCGAAUAAAUAAUGGAAAAACGCGAUAACUGAAUGAAAAGUCAACACUUCUUUUCAAAAUCAUGUACUAUAUAUCUCUAAACGAUUAUGUCGUUACAAAAACUCUAGAUUUUGUCGAUGCAUACGUUGAAAUAAACAUUUUGAAAACACCCGAAUUUGAAUAUUUGCUGAACAAACUUUUUGUUAUUGAAAAGAAAACACAUACAUAAACAAAUAAAGAAAACAUAUUAAGCCAAGAAAAUAAAAAAAUUAAAAUCAUAUGGUAUCAUAGUCCUACCUUGAUAUCAUUGUACCAUGGUAGUGCUAUUAACAUUUCACUAUCACUGAAAUUUAGGAGUAGUGCAACUUUUCUUAAAUACCACUAAAUGUGAACUACAAAUUUAGUGCAAUAUGCCCAACCCUGUUACCAUGAAACUGAUAUGUUGAAGCUAUAUCUUAAUCUGUAUCGUUUGUUACAGAAUAAAUGCUAUGCGCACGGAUAUUCAUAAGUCGACUUGAAAUGUGAUUCUAUGUAGCUUAUCAAGGGUAAUAGUGGUCUGUGGGGAUUGAUUUUGUCUGUUGCAAAUAAAUGCACAAAGUCAUAAUACUUUGCUUCAUAGUGUGGUGUAGGGAAUAAUAAAAUAAAAAUUGGUUGUGGAAGCGCCUUUUGUUUUUGAUUUGGCAUGUCAUAUCCCUAUUUUACUAUUUUAAGGAGAGAGAGUUCGAGUAAUAAUCCAAUAUAAAAUACGCGUAUCCACAUGAAAAACAGUGCAAUUCAUACAAACAUUUAUUACAGCGUUUCUCAAUGUUUCAACAAAUACACAAAGACAUUAACAAACCAAUUUCAAAAUGAAGUCACGUAACGAAAUGGCUCAUCGGUCAAAGAUUAAGUGAUACCAAAUUAAUUAAUCUAAACGUUUGUUUAUUUUUGUGAAAGCAGUCUUUAUAACAACUAGUUGCGUGUCAUAAUAAGUAAGGUAGUGCUCUCAUAAACUAUAUUGUUUGGACUGUACAUAUAUUUAGUUAAUAUUAAAAGACUAAUUCAAUAAAUAGUAUUUGCUUGUUGCAGGCCGUUCACAUGCGGCGCAAAAAGGCAACAAAUAUAUGGGGCCGUGUUUUUUGGCAAAACCUGUCCACAACCACCGCAGAAAUUAUCCCAAUUCUGUUGGUAGUGCAUCCCAUAAUUGGUCCUCAAAUGGAUUUGCUCAGUUUUCUUGGGUUUUUAGUGAGGAUGGUGAGGAUGCUUCGAGAUUUCAAUUUGCUUGUAAUUUCUGCGGGGUGUGUAGUCUGGGUGGCGAUGGGAUCAAAA